GGGGGAAUAUUGGACAAUGGGGGCAACCCUGAUCCAGCCAUGCCGCGUGUGUGAAGAAGGCCUUCGGGUUGUAAAGCACUUUCGGACGGAACGAAAUCGCGCGGGUGAACAAUCCGCGUGGAUGACGGUACCGUAAGAAGAAGCACCGGCUAACUACGUGCCAGCAGCCGCGGUAAUACGUAGGGUGCGAGCGUUAAUCGGAAUUACUGGGCGUAAAGUGUGCGCAGGCGGCGUCGCAAGUCGAGUGUGAAAGCCCCGGGCUUAACCUGGGAAUUGCGCUCGAAACUACGGCGCUCGAGUGUGGCAGAGGAAGGUGGAAUUCCACGUGUAGCGGUGAAAUGCGUAGAUAUGUGGAGGAACACCGAUGGCGAAGGCAGCCUUCUGGGCCAACACUGACGCUCAUGCACGAAAGCGUGGGGAGCAAAC
rnacentral:rRNA from 1 species